AACUAAUACUAGCCCUAUUAAAAAUUAAUAAAACUAAAACUCCCAAAUAAACUAAAACAUUUAUACUAUAAAGUAUAGGAGAUAGAAAUAUGACCUAGGAGCUAUAGAGAAAGUACCGCAAGGGAACGAUGAAAGAUAAAAUUUAUAGUAGUAAAUAGCAAAGCUUAAACCUUGUACCUUUUGCAUCAUGGGUUAACUAGAAACAACUUGACAAAGAGCCCUUUAGCCAAAAUCCCCGAAACCAGACGAGCUACUCACGAACAAUAAUAGAAUAAACUCGUCUAUGUAGCAAAAUAGUGAGAAGAUUUGUGAGUAGAGGUGAAAAGCCAACCGAGCCUGGAGAUAGCUGGUUGUUCAGAAAAGGAAUUUAAGUUCUACCUAAAUUUACCCUAAAGGACUACCUAGCCUUAUUUUCGUAAAUUUAGAGCUAAUCAAUAGAGGUACAUCUCUAUUGAUUAAGGUUACAACCUUAGUUAGAGAGUAAGUAAAUAUAUAAACAUAGUAGGCCUAAAAGCAGCCAUCAAUUAAGAAAGCGUUAAAGCUCAACACUAAUUUAAUACACUAAUCCAACAAAUUUAACAAACUCCUAAUUCAAUACUGAACUAUUCUAUUUAUAUAUAGAAACAAUAAUGUUAAUAUGAGUAACAAGAAAAUAUUCUCCCAGCACAAGCUUAUAUCAGAACGGAUGCCCACUGAUAGUUAAUAGUCCUAUAAUUAUAGCCCACAACCUAGCUAAUUAUUAUUCAUACUAUUAACCCAACACUGGCGUGCAUUUAAGGAAAGAUUAAAAGAAGUAAAAGGAACUCGGCAAACAUGAAUCCCGCCUGUUUACCAAAAACAUCACCUCUAGCAUUACUAGUAUUAGAGGCCCUGCCUGCCCAGUGACAUUAGUUUAACGGCCGCGGUACUCUGACCGUGCAAAGGUAGCAUAAUCAUUUGUUCUCUAAAUAAGGACUUGUAUGAAUGGCUUCACGAGGAUUCAACUGUCUCUUACUUCCAAUCAGUGAAAUUGACCUCCCCGUGAAGAGGCGGGGAUAUGAAUAUAAGACGAGAAGACCCUAUGGAGCUUUAAUCUAACUAUCUAAUAACAAUAAACUACACCCUUAAGGGUAUAACAAACGUUUAAUAGGUAGAAGAUUUCGGUUGGGGUGACCUCGGAGCAUAAUUCAACCUCCGAAAGAUAUUUGCCAAGACUUUACUUGUCUAAGCUUCACAAUCCAAUUGAUCCACAUAUGUGAUCAACGGAACAAGUUACCCUAGGGAUAACAGCGCAAUCCUAUUCUAGAGUCCAUAUCGACAAUAGGGUUUACGACCUCGAUGUUGGAUCAGGACAUCCCAAUGGUGCAGCAGCUAUUAAAGGUUCGUUUGUUCAACGAUUAAAGUCCUACGUGAUCUGAGUUCAGACCGGAGUAAUCCAGGUCGGUUUCUAUCUAUAUAAAUCUAUUUCUCCCAGUACGAAAGGACCAGAGAAAUAAGGCCUACUUGUCACAAGCGCCUUACAAAUAACUAAAUGAAAUAAUCUCAAUUUAUACCCGAUAAAUUACCCCCUAGAAAAGGGGAUU
rnacentral:rRNA from 1 species